GAAGCACAGGCGACGCAUGCGCGCUGACUGGAAACGCGACAGAAACCAGCGACCCCGCCUCUCAGGAAAAUCAGUCCGGCCAAGUCCGAAGCCCUAGUACUUUGGUUCCGUGUCGCAUCGGUCACAGCAGGUUCGGCCAAGAGCAAAAGGCUCCGCCCCCGGCACCCGCGGACCAAUCGCUGCUCGGCGGAAGGCUCCAGACCUAUAUAAACGAGUUACGCGCUUCUACGGGUCUUUCGAAGGAUCGUUUUCGCGUAAGUCUCUUUAGAUUGUGGGUAUUUGGGUGCCGCUGGGGUCUAGGCCUGACCUUGUAGACCCUCCAUUUCUUGGCGGGGAUCGGGCGUACCAUCCUGCUCCCCGUUAUGUACGGAGGCAGAAGGAAAGGGCUCCGGCCCUCUCGGCGUUAUGUCUUCGGUGCCUGCGGCUUCCCGUUCGCCGGUUCUAUCCUCAGACGCCGGGACACCACUCCCUACGCAGAAAUGUAGCCAGACCCUGCGGUCCCCUCUGUGCGAUAGUCACGCUCUUUUAUUUUGAUUUCAGGUCUGUGGACGUGACGCCCCGGGAGUGAUAGCUCAUGUUUUCCUUCGCGGUUUAUUGUUGAACCAAUAAAGUCAGUGAACCCUAA